UCCAGCAGUAGUCAGCUGUUCAGGCAUAUGCUAUUCCUGUAAUGGUGUUACACUGCUGGGACAGUGACCUGCUGUGGUCUGGCUCCAGAGGGCGCUGUUGUAGCAUCCUUCAGAGUUCAGGCUGAGGCGGGAGAGUUUUAAAUCUUGUGCAAUAUAUU
rnacentral:snoRNA from 1 species